CCUCCUCCUCCUCCUCCUCCUCCUCCUCCUCCUCCUCCUCCUCCUUGUCCUUGUCUUUUCUCAGUCUUCCUUGUCCUCCUACAGUCCCACUACUCCUCAAUUAAGAUAGUUUUGUUUCCUGGAGAGAGAGAGAGAGAGAGAGAGAGAGAGAGAGAGAGAGAGAGAGAGAGAGAAUGGGGUAUCUAGUUUACGAAGUAUUUAUGUAGUAGCAACAGCAGCAGCAGCAGCAGUAGCAGCAUUUACCUGUCCUAAUUAACUUUACCAUUUAUCAACAACACCUCUAUCGACUGAAUCUCUCUCUCUCUCUCUCUCUCUCUCUCUCUCUCUCUCUCUCUCUCUCUCUCUCUCUCUCUCUCUCUCUCUCUCUCUCUCUCUCUCUGUGUGUGUGUGUGUGUGUGUGUGUGUGUGUGUGUGUGUGUCCUUGGCCCAUAGCUCAGGUGUACAUGAGCGCGUGUCACCUGUGUAGUAUACACACACACACACACACACACACACACACACACACACAGACACAGACAAAGAUAAGAAUUGGAAAAUCUGAGAAAGGGAAAGGGAGAGGAAGUAUUAAUGGGAAUGGGGAAAGCAGAAGAGUUGGUAGAUUACGGAAGAGAGAGAGAGAGAGAGAGAGAGAGAGAGAGAGAGAGAGAGAUUAGAUAAACAUAGACUAGUGGGAAGAAUUGAAAUAAAGUAAGAUAAAAAAAAAAGAAAA